ACAGAUGGUUGAUUAGGGGCCGUCUAGCGGCAACGCUGGACUGCAAAGUUAACAAUAUGCUGGAACAUCCGGGCAUAUUGGCGUACUUAUGUUAAGAUAAGUGAAAAUCGCCAAUCGCGGUAAAUGUAAAUUUAUCACCGGACAAUCAGCAGGGAAAUCCUCAACGACUAAAUGUUAACCUUCCGAAUAAAAUCGGAAGAUGAUAUAGUCUGAACUCUAUGGCGACAUAGAG
rnacentral:ncRNA from 1 species